rnacentral:tRNA from 1 species
GGAGUUAUGGCUCAGUGGUAAAGUACUUGCCUAGCAUGUGAGAGGCACUGGGUUUGGUUCUCAGCACCACAUACAAAUAAAUGAAUAAAAUAAAGGUCCAUCAACUUCUAAAAAAAGAAAGAAAAUCCCUAAAAAUCAACAAUGAUGAAAAUCUUUUGAAAGAUUUCAAGAGGUUUCAAAUACUUCAUAUUCCU